rnacentral:rRNA from 1 species
AGAGCGAACGCUGGCGGCGUGCUUAACACAUGCAAGUCGAACGCGCAGCAUUCUGUAGCAAUACAGGAUGUGGGCGCGUGGCGAACGGGUGCGUAACACGUGGAUAACCUUCCUUCAGGUGGGGAAUAACCCAGUGAAAAUUGGGCUAAUACCGCAUCACAUUACGAGGCACAUGCUCUUGUACUCAAAGCCGCAAGGCGCCAGAAGAGGGAUCCGCGGCCGAUUAGCUUGUUGGCGAGGUAAUGGCUCACCAAGGCAUUGAUCGGUA